rnacentral:rRNA from 1 species
UACGUAGGGACCAAGCGUUGUUCGGAUUUACUGGGCGUAAAGGGCGCGUAGGCGGCAAUUCAAGUCAUCUGUGAAAUCUCCGGGCUUAACCCGGAACGGUCAGGUGAUACUGUUUUGCUAGAGUGCGGAAGGGGCAAUCGGAAUUCUCGGUGUAGCGGUGAAAUGCGUAGAUAUCGAGAGGAACACCAGAGGUGAAGACGGGUUGCUGGGCCGACACUGACGCUGACAGCGCGAAAGUGUGGGGGAGCGAACAGG